rnacentral:rRNA from 1 species
AGGACAAACGCUGGCGGGGUGCAUGAGACAUGCAAGUCGAACGAGGUGCCAUCGGGCUUGCUCGAUGGUCACCGAGUGGCGGACGGCUGAGUAACGCGUAGGUGACCUACCCGGAAGUGGGGAAUAACUGCCCGAAAGGGUGGCUAAUACCGCAUGUGGUCGGCGAUUCGGUUCGCCGUCCAAAGGAGAAAUUCGCUUCCGGCGGGGCCUGCGUCCGAUUAGCUAGUUGGUGGGGUAACGGCUCACCAAGGCGACGAUCGGUAGCUGGUCUGAGAGGAUGAUCAGCCAGACUGGGACUGAGAACGGCCCAGACUCCUACGGGAGGCAGCAGUCGGGAAUUUGCCCAAUGGACGAAAGUCUGAGGCAGCAACUCCGACGUGAGGGAUGAAAGGCUCUCGGGUCGUAAAACCUCUUUUCUCAGGAAGAUCCAAGACGGUACCUGAGGAAUAAGCGACGGCUAAACUACGUGCCAGCAGCCGC